CGCGAUGAAAUGUUCUCUGAGCUCAUGCAGUCAUCCGGCACUGACAGAGCUCAGCAGAAUGUGCGGAGGGACACAGGAGCACAGUACAGGAAAGCGGCCAGUGAAAGUGAGGACAGGAGGGAUAAUUGAGAUGAGAAGUGGUGGCAGGGGGAUCAGAGGAGGCAGGAUGCAAUGCUGAGGCUACUGCGGGAUUAAACGGACAUGCUUCGGCAUCUGGUGGAGGUUCAGAAAUGGCAGCAGGAUCACAGACUGCUGCUGCAGCUCCUGUUUAACCGACCUCCCUCCUCCCCAGACACCCAAGAAGGCCGGGGGGGGGGAGGCUCCGGGCACCCAAGCACUCCACCCCAUGGACAGUUGACAGCCCAAGCAACAGAAGACUGUCAUUAAAGAAGUUUUGAAGUGGCCUUUUCCUUCUCUCCUUCCCUCCUCCCACACCCCACCCGGGCUACCUUGUCCAGAAUUGGUGUUCCAUGGCUUGAGCCUGCCCCAUUGACAACAUGAUCUCCAAAUUGCCGGGGACCGCGGUUUUAGAAAAAUAUGUGGCCAUGUCCUCAUCAGUCUGGUCACCGUGCUGCUGUCGCCUGCUCGCCUGGCUUUUCAGGACCCUCGACCUAUACUGCCUGCGUUCUUCAGAAACUCCAUCCCUGGGCCAACACCCUCAUAGACCAUUCCAAAAGGACACGUUUCCAUGAAGAACUCAUGGUUGAUGUUCUUGUAAGGCAGACCAGCUAUUCAAGAACCAGAAGAAGAGGGAUGAAAGACUGGAAAAACAGAAUGGUCACAGGCAGGUAGAGAGGCUGAAGCCCAGUUGGAGGUGAGUGUUUCAGUGAGGGAGCUGGCACUUCCACAGUAGUAAGAUAAGGGAGGAAUAUAGACCCCAACAGAGAGAACUGUUCCAGCAACUCUUGUCUGUAAUGGCUGCAAGAGCACCGGCUGCUGUGGUCUCUCACCAUGGCAUAAUGCCCCAGCAACAUAUCCUUAGCCAAGCAGUAGUUUGCACAACUCCAUGCAGUGGUGCGGGAGCGGGAUGCAUUCAGGACUGGGUAAGGCAACUAACCCCUGUGCAGUUUUCUCUCUGGUGGAAAUCUCCCUCUCCCCCACCACAAAGUGAGGGCUAAAACUGUAAAGAAGGGAAAGGAGAACUUAGGGGCCAGGAGACAUGCAGUGAUAGGGGGAUUGUGUUGAGUAUUAACUAUUUCCUGCCCUUUUUAGGGGGCGUGGGGUGGGGUUGAUUUUGUAAUGGCAGUUGGCCUGCCCAAGACAGUGUGAGUGGUUUACUGUUUACAUAUCUGUUAACAAAUAAAGAAUAUGCUUUAUGUU